rnacentral:rRNA from 1 species
GAUUAGCCAUGCAGUCUCAGUACAAGCCGAACUAAGGUGAAACCGCAAAAGGCUCAUUAAAUCAGUUAUGGUUCCUUGGAUCGUACAAUCCAUUACUUGGAUAACUGUGGUAAUUCUAGAGCUAAUACAUGCAAACAGAGUCCCGACCAGAAAUGGAAGGGACGCUUUUAUUAGAUCAAAACCAAUCGACGUCCGUCUUCCUCCGGGUCGACGGCGCCGUACUCCUUGGUGACUCUGAAUAACUUUUGGCAGAUCGCACGGUCUUCGAACCGGCGACGCAUCCUUCAAAUGUCUGCCUUAUCAACUGUCGAUGGUAGGUUCUGCGCCUACCAUGGUUGUAACGGGUAACGGGGAAUCAGGGUUCGAUUCCGGAGAGGGAGCCUGAGAAACGGCUACCACAUCCAAGGAAGGCAGCAGGCGCGCAAAUUACCCACUCCCGGCACGGGGAGGUAGUGACGAAAAAUAACGAUACGGGACUCAUCCGAGGCCCCGUAAUCGGAAUGAGUAUACUCUAAAUCCUUAUACGAGUAUCAAUUGGAGGGCAAGUCUGGUGCCAGCAGCCGCGGUAAUUCCAGCUCCAAUAGCGUAUAUUAAAGUUGUUGCGGUUAAAAAGCUCGUAGUUGGAUCUGUGUCCCGCACCGUCGGUUCACCGCCUGUCGGUGUUCAACUGGUGUGUAUGCGGGACGUCCUGCCGGUGGCGGUCCGGUUCCCCGUGGGUACGUAGGGGCGUCCUUGCUUACGCUUGCGUCGUCCCCGAAGGCCUGCGCGGUGUAUCCGGCCGCCUUUUCAAUCCCGUCGCGGUGCUCUUCACUGAGUGUCGAGGCGGGCCGGCACGUUUACUUUGAACAAAUUAGAGUGCUUUAAGCAGGCCCUGUCCCGCCUGUAUGUUGUGUGCAUGGAAUAAUGGAAUAGGACCUCGGUUCUAUUUUGUUGGUUUUCGGAAUCUGAGGUAAUGAUCAAUGGGGACAGGCGGGGGCAUUCGUAUUGCGACGUUAGAGGUGAAAUUCUUGAUCGUCGCAGACGGACCGAGCGAAAGCAUUGCCAGUAUGUCUCGUCGAUCAGACCGAAGUAGAGUCG